rnacentral:rRNA from 1 species
UACGAAGGGUGCAAGCGUUACUCGGAAUUACUGGGCGUAAAGCGUGCGUAGGCGGUUUGUCGCGUCUGCCGUGAAAGUCCGGGGCUCAACUCCGGAUCUGCGGUGGGUACGGGCAGACUAGAGUGAUGUAGGGGAGACUGGAAUUCCUGGUGUAGCGGUGAAAUGCGCAGAUAUCAGGAGGAACACCGGUGGCGAAGGCGGGUCUCUGGGCCGAUACUGACGCUGAGGAGCGAAAGCGUGGGGAGCGAACAGG